rnacentral:rRNA from 1 species
GACGAACGCUGGCGGCGUGCCUAAUACAUGCAAGUCGAGCGGACUGAUUCGGAGCUUGCUUCGAUGAAGUUAGCGGCGGACGGGUGAGUAACACGUGGGCAACCUGCCUGACAGACUGGGAUAACGCUUGGAAACGAGUGCUAAUACCGGAUAGGCUUUUCUCUCGCAUGAGAGAAAAGAGAAAGAAGCUUUCGCUUCACUGUCAGAUGGGCCCGCGGCGCAUUAGCUAGUUGGUGAGGUAAUGGCUCACCAAGGCGACGAUGCGUAGCCGACCUGAGAGGGUGACCGGCCACACUGGGACUGAGACACGGCCCAGACUCCUACGGGAGGCAGCAGUAGGGAAUCUUCCACAAUGGGCGCAAGCCUGAUGGAGCAACGCUGCGUGAAUGAUGAAGGCCUUCGGGUUGUAAAAUUCUGUCUUCUGUGAAGAACAAGUGUGAGA